GACAAUUAGUUGUGUUUGUGGCGAAAGUCGUGAAAGGAAAACACAGCAUACAAUGAACAUUUAUUAAAGGGGCACCUCACUUUGCUUGAAGACAAGGGGGAAAUUGUGGUAUCGGUUUUUAAAAUGGAAACAAAGAUCGAGUGGCGGUUGGCUAAUUUGCAUUUUGCAUCUAUAGCUGCACCAGCUGUUACUGUUUGGUGAUUCAGAGAACAUGUAGACCUGACUGUGUGCCCUGGGACCCAGAGAUGAGGUUGCCAGAGGUUCCUCAGGGGAAGCCAGAGAACAUAGGAGAAGACACCGUCUGAGCUGAGGCCCGCGUGAUGAGAAGUUGCCAACCGCUUGGUUACUCGGGAAAGAGUCGUCCACGCAGAGGGAACAGCGGCCAGAGCAGGGGCCCAGAGCGUCGAACCUGCAUUUUUUCCUCCAGAGUCUGAUGCCCAGUGGAGGCUUCGGGGAUCUAGAAGCUGUUACUCCAGAGCCUUGCCCGGCCUUGGCCAAGUGGAAAGGACAUCUUCUCCUCUGUUAACUCGACAUCUUCAGGAAUGGCAGCGGCCAGUGGAGCUCUCUCAUUCAGACACAAGCUCCCGUGAAAGCAAAGAGAAGGCAGUUUCGCCGCAGGGCACCCCACAGCUGUGCUUUCUAGUAUUUGCCCAAAUGGCUUCCUCCAGUAACAGCGAUCACCAAAGCUCUCUGUGUUGAGUAAGUAAGCUUCAUUUUAACCACGCCUGGCUCUGAGUGUUGUAGCCCUCUAAGUUAUUGUAGAACAGUACCCGCACAUGCGUUUCUCAGCCCAGACACCCUGAUAUGGGAGGGUGCCCUCACCAGCAUGGAUCGCUGGCAGUUUGGUUGGGAAGGAUGAGGCAGUUGUUCAAGGGGGGCUGGAGGUGCAACCUGUCAUGCCGUUUAAA